CUGGUGUACCCUUAUCAGAUGGGUAGUCAUGAUGGGUAUAUUGGGCUUCGUAUAUUUUACCCCAGUGUCACUUUGAUGGCAUGAACUGCUCUCUCACUCAAUAAUAAUAAUAAUAAUAAUGAUGAUGAUUUCAAAUUUUAGCACAAGGCCAGUAAUUUCAGGGGAGGGGUAAAUCGAUUACAUCAACCCCCCCCCAGUACUCAAGUAGUUGGUACUUAAUUUAUCGAUCCUCGGAAGGCUAAGUCAAUCUCGACGGAAUUUGAGCCCAGAACGUAAAGACGGACGAAAUGCCGUUGAGCAUUUGCUCGGCGUACUAACGAUUCUGAAAGCUUAAUUGCUGCACAAGACCAAUGCCUGACUACAAACAAUUAAAAACAACAACAAAAUAAUAAAACAGGCCCCAACACUAAAUGCAGAAUGUGCAACCACCACAAUGAGGCAGUUGACCACAUUAUCUCGGGCUGUUCAGUCUUUGCCAAGUCUGAAUAUAUAUACAGACACGACAAAGUAGGUAGUUGUAUCCGCAGGACAAUAUGCUAACAUUACAACAUUAAAACUGACAAUCGGUGAUAUAAGCAUGUGCCAAACAAGGUACAAGACAACGACCAGGCUACAAUCAUCUGGGAUAUGCUAGUUCAAACCGACAAAGGAAUAAAAACUAAUCGCUCAUUCCUAAUUAUCAAGGUUUGGGAAAAAGUAAAAAAGUACCUGUUUACUGAUAGGCAUUGCAGUCCCUUCCGAUCAAAAUAUUGUUCAAAAAGAAGUGGAGAAAUUGUUAAAGUACAAUGACCUCGAAAUUGAAGCAGUCAAGAUGUGGGACAUGAAGGCAAAAACAAUAUCAAUUAUAAUUGGAGCACUGGGCAUGGAAAAAAACAUAACAAAAACGUAGAAGCUAUACCUGGAUCCUCAGCGCUGCCCACUAUCCAAGAAGAAGAAAACAAGGCCUGCUAUGAACAACCCACAAACGCAAGACAUUCUAUAUAGCAAUUACCCAGUGAAAUAAAUUCUUACCAGCAAGCCAGUAACCAACACGUUACACACUCAACACACAGUACAAGCAGCAACACAACAAACGACUGGAACCAAAAAAAAAACUAACACAAUAUAAUACCGGGAAGAGUUUGCGCACUCACAACAACGGAAGAGAACACACAAUGCUGCACACAACGCGGUGGUGUAGCAGGUGAUGCAGUAGAAAUUUGCCUCAAACUCUCAUUGUUGAGCAAUUAUAUCAAGCAGAGUAAAAAGUAAGCAAUGUUUUGAAUCAUGAAGAAUUUGUACCGGAGUUUUGCAGAGUUCUGAACUUUUUAAACAUGUUUUUGUAAUUGUCUGAUAAUACAGACAUAGACUUGCCCAAAUGCAUCAAUAAAUUAACAUUGUUAUUUUUUAAACCGUUGUUACAGUCAUCUGUUUUUCUGGUUAUUGGAAUUGCGUUUGGAGAUUUCUAAGUUAAUUUGAUUUAUUGUUACCUGUUGCAAGACUCAUUGUUAUUGUUCUACUGUUGUAGCCGUGGGUGGUUGAUUAACGGCUUGAACUAUUGUUGUUGUUACCCUCCCCCACGGGGGAAGGAUUUGUAUAAACUGUGUAGAGGGAACUGAUUAAUUUUGAGUGCCACUAUGGCGACAACCGCGGAAGCAGUAGCCACGCCAGCACCUAUGAACUAUGCCGCUGCCGUUGGUCAACAAGAGGAAAUCAUUACCUUGAAAAAGGCUGAAAUACAACUUUUAUUUGGCAAAAUAACUGAAAGCAACAGGGGAAAGUACCCCCUCUCCCCACCUGAAAUAACUACCUGCAGACGGGAAAGAACCGUAUUCUAUAAAACGUUCUGCUUGAAAAACAAGAAAGUGAAACGGUUCAAGGAGAAAGAUACAGAGGAGUGUCUCGGGUCAGUAAUGAAGGAUAUUGCCUUCCUGACCCGGAGUAACAAAUACGCAACAGUCGAAGCAAGGUUCGAGUCGGUUGAAAAGGCUAAGGAAUAUUCCGCUCGGACCUUGCAGAACAACAAAAUGGCAUAAUUACCAUUAUAUCGGGACGCAGGACGUCCUGGGUAAAAAUCAUGAAUAUCCCUCCUGAUGUUGAGGUAGCGUGGGUUGUUGCCAUGAGAAGAGAAACUGGAGGUAAUCCAGGUAAAAAGAUGUCUCCCAGAAUUGGAAGGGACAAUCUUUGGAAGUCCUGGUAUAGGCUACACCUGCAAAUUUAGAAGAGCUUCCCGAUAGAAUACAGGUUGCGGAGGAGUCAGCCUUAAUCAUAAAUGUGGAAGGGAGAAACCCUCGGUGCUUCCGGUGCGGAAGGAAGGGACACCAGAGGGCCGAGUGUGGACAUCCCAAGAAAAAAGCGAAAGAUGGGGAGAAGGAAGUUCUCCCCACCAACGAGGAAGCGGCAAAAGUGGUAGCCCCGGCCAAGGAGGCCAUUACGCAGGGGGCUACUACCAACAGUGAGACCAACAACGAGAAGGUGGUAGCCUUGGCCAAGGAGGCCAUUACCCAAAAGGCUACCACCAGCAAUAACAAAGAUGAAACAAAUAGUGAGAAAGUGGUAGCCUCGGCCAAGGAGGCCAUUACCCAGAGGGCAACCACCAGUAAAAAUGUAACCAGUGAGGAGCAGGUGGUAGCCCUGGUCCAGGAGGCCAUUAACCAAGGGGCUACCACCAGCGGUGGCCCAGCAAGAGGAUGGCAAAAUGGAAUUCCAGGUGGUUUCAAGAAAAAGACCAGAAGCAGUAACACCAGAAAAAAUAAACCCCUCCGAAAAAGGGAAAAGAAAAUCUCAAAGAAGGUGGCCUGAAAGGCCACUGCUGAAAAACUGAUAGAAAGUAAAAGAACGACAGAAUAGGUGGCCUGGUACAGGUCACCGAACCUGUGGGGGAAAAAAACCGGAAACGGUAAUGGUAGUGUUUAGAAAUACCAAUACUUAUUUGGUGGGUGUGAUUGUGCCCAACCUGCAAACAAGAAUCUUCCAGAGUGAUGUUGAAGAAGGAGUCCUCACUUACGGAAGAAUCUCAAGGAAGUUAUACAAUGACAUGAAAAAGAUACACUCAAAAGACAUUGCGGAGCUUGGGUCACUCCAAAAAAUAAUCAACCUACCGGUGAACCAAGCCUGGAAGAGGGUGGUGAGGUUAACUCGGUCACCCUCCGGUAUAUACUUUGAGAAAGCUAAGCCGUUUUUUCGUGUUUUUUUUUCCUUUCAGAAAUGGCUACAUUUAGUAUAGGCUGUUUGAAUGUGCGUGGCCUGGGUUCGAAGUGGAAGCAGGCUUGUUUCCUCAACGUUCUCAGGCCACAUAGGAUAGAUGCGAUGGUCGCUACAGAGACCAAGUUGGACAAGCUGCAGCCCUUCUCGUCCCUCAUGAAUGGCUAUGAGAAAGUCAGGUCUCGUAGCCACACAGGAAGACGUGGAGGAGCCGUAGUUUUUCUGGAAAAACUUGGCUCAGCAGAAACGUAUAAUCUUUGCAAACCCAGAAGGCGAGUUGGUCCUUCUGGAUCUAGCAUUUGGUGGUAAAAUUUUCAGGUUGAUUGGCAUUUACGAGCCUACGACUGUAGGCAAACGGAAUGACUUUUAUCGGCGCCUGGAGAAUUUUCUUGCGAAGUUUAAAAAAAUAGUAGUGUUAGGAGAAUUUAAAGCUGUCCUCAAAGCACGUAGGGACAGCGUUGGCUCGACUAAUAGGACAAGUUACUCUCGCCUUGUCGAUCUGCUUAAGUGAUAUAGGCUGGCAGACCCAUUCAGACUGGAUUAUCUGAGCGUUCCAACGUGGACUUGGAGUAAUAACGACGGAUCAAUCCGGUCUUAUAUAGAUAGAAUAAUAGUUAAUAUUAGAGACAGGAUUAGCUUUAGCUGUCCAUAAUUCACCUAUGUAUCCUACACGGAUCACAAAUUAAUGACGUGUAGGAUGCAGAUAGAUAAGGUACAUAGACAAGGAUCUGGUUACUGGAAGUUGAACAAUUCCCUUUUAGCUUGUAAAACUUACCAGGGCCAGAUUAGGCUGUUAGUUCAGAGGGCAUUGACCGGCACCGUGUUGAAUAACCGAUGAUGGCUUUCCCUCAAAAGAGCCAUUCGCUUAGAUUUAGCAAGCAGUUAAAAUCUAGAGUAGAAGAGUGUCUAAUUAAGGCUUUAGAAGAGGUGUUGAGUGUGGGCUCUGCAGUCCAAGUGCUGGCGGCGAAAUCGGUCCUGGACCGACACCCCAAUGCUAAACACGAAGGAUGCAGGGUUCGGGCUAAAAUUCGCGCUUUGGGCCGUGAGGGUAUCAACGUUGCCUGGUGGGCUCGCUCUGUAGAGACUCAGCGUGGUGACGAAUCCACGAUAAGGUCUUUGGUUGAUGAACAAGAGCGUUCGGUCCAAGGACAGGAUGAGAUAUGUGAGGCGUUUUACGAGCACUUUGCUACGUUGUUUGCGAGGAGCGAUGCCUUACGGGAUUUUCUGGCCAGUGGACCGCGAAUCACGGCACGUGAGGCUGAGCGCUGUGAAAAGCCGAUCUCAGCUACGGAGGUCAAGGAGGUACUUUCUGAGUGCCCCGGGGAUAGGUCUCCGGGACUUGAUGGUUGUCUUACGAAUUUUAUAAAAGUAUGCCAGACUUGUUCGGGGAAAUACUGGCUGGUGUUUACACGAACUGGUAGCAGAAUGGGAGUAUUCCCAAAUCUGUGAGCUGCGAGUUGUGACACUAGUCAGGAAAGACUCGAGCAAGGGGGAUAUCAUUAAUAAUUUUCGGCCCAUAACUGUUAAAUACAGAAUUAAAGGUGUUAGCCAAGAGAGUUAGAGUUGUCGUGGGCGACCUGGUUGCUGGACGGAGGGUCCUGUUAAAUUUCAACCCUUUGUGUGUACGUGUAUGUGAAUGCUUGUAUUUGUGAUUAUGUACCUUAUAUAUAAAAACAAGGGUGUAGAGCGAUCCUCACGAUGGACUCGGCCGACAACCGGAACCGUCUUACAUGUACCAACAGCUGUUCGAUAAAGCUCCACAAGUCAGCACGUCCGACAGCACUUUCGUGCCUGUAUGGCUUGUCUUGAACUGGCAGAGCUUCCCUGCUAGCACUGACAGACCAGGGAUUUUUGGAAAUUCCCCAUAACUCCGAUCCGAAAGCCUCUGGAAAAGACCAACUAAUUGAUUUCCUUCAGCGCCCAGAAUUCUCCGGAGGACGUCGUCGCUCUUGCUAUAAUAAUAAUAAUAAUAAUGAUAAUAAUAAUAAUAAUAAUAAUAAUAAUAAUAAUAGCUACAAGGCCUGAUAUUUAGUGGGAAGGACCAGUCGAGCUCAUCAAUUCUAGUGUUCAACUGGUACUUAUUUCCCCGGCCCUGAAAAUAUGAAAGGCGAAAAUUAUAAUACUUGUUUCAAAUUUUGGCACAUGGCCAGCAAUUUUAGCUGAAGAGGCGAAGUCGAUUACAUUGUCUCCGAUUUCAAAUGCCGCCGAGGUGAAUUUUGCCUUUCAUGUUUUCGAGGUCGAUAAAAUAAUGUACCAGUCAAUUUUGGGUUUGAAUAUAUACUCGACUAACUAUCCCCAUUACUGAAAAUCGAAGCCCUGUGCCUAUGCUAGAAACCGUUUGCUGUGAAUGAAAUUAGCCAUUCGUUCGCUGGAAUUUGGAAUAGAAGAACCUAUAAUAUUUGGUGCGUUGGAAACAGUAAGCAAAGAUAUAGACAACUGGCCGAAGGAGUUUGGAACACAAUGCCCUGUAGAGCUGCUACAGAAAGUUUGUCUUUUAGGGAUAGCAAGGAUUACCAGGAGGGUUCUAAGCACAUGAUAUACUACUGAAAUCUCAUGGAUACCUAAGGUUACAGGUAGUAACACACUACCCUCAUAAAUCCUACCUGGAAUAAGACCGAACCUGAGUUAAACCAAAUAAUAAUAAUAAACGCACCCUGAGAGCGCAAACCUCCGCCAAUGCAACAUCAACGUCUUUUCAACGAUUAGCCAGAGAUGAUUUUUAAAAUGAGAAUAUCUGAAAUAAACUCGACUGCUCUCACAAACGAGAAUACUGAAAAUGAAUCCGAUCACUCUCAAAAAAUUGUAAAAAAGAAAAACCGGAAAAAUAAUCCAGAAUCCUUGUCCGGUACCGGAUCGAUCCCCAAAUCUAAUCAGUUCAUGUCAGUCACGAAAGUUUCAUCCGAAUCCAUCCAGUAGUUCUUGAGAUAGCUUGUGCACGGACAAACAAACACGACUGAAAACAAUACCUCCGCCUUAGCGAAGGCAGAGGUAAUAAUGAUUUCUUUUAUUUGCGACCAGAGGUGGAGGGCAAUACAAUCAAUAAUAAUAAUGAUUUUACUGUAUUUGCCACAUUCAGUCAUGCACAACAUGUUACGGGAAAAGGUGGCGGUUACAAAACGUGGAGAUGGUAUGGGUACUAGCAGGGGCUCAGAGAUCGUUGUAGUAGCGUCACAAGAACAGUAAGAAAGCGAGACUGAAUUAGAGGUUGCAGUGUGUUUGUUACUGUUUCAGUUUAGUUAAUGUCAGCAGUUAGUUACACUCAGUAUUGAAGAGGGUUUUAAACUUAAAUUAAUAAAAUAAAAUAAAAUUUAAGAAAAGCCAUAUUUAUCUUUCGCCUGUUAUCUUCUUUUUUUUUUCUAAAAAAAAACAAAGAAAAAACGCUUUGUAUUUUAUGAUACCUGGUCAUUGAUGUUGGAUCUUGUUAAAUUUCUUCUAACCACUUGAAAUAAUUAAAAUUUUCACCAGAUUAUUUUUUCAAAAAAUGUAGUUAUGAUGUAGUCUUAACACACUGAGAAAAGGAAUGUGAUUGAUCUUGGUCAUUAGCAUGCAAAAACUACAUCAGUGUAGAAAAUGUGAAAAUAUUCUUGUAGUUAUUUCAGAAAAUUCUGUUGAUUGGAAAGAAUUUAAUAAGAUCCUUUAGUUAUGUAAUACCUAUCACUUUACAAACAACAUUGCAUCAUUUUCACUUCUCGAAAUAUCAAUAGUAAGUAACUGACCACCAGAUAACCACCCGAUUUAUUGUUGCCAAUCACACAUGACUCUGUGUGUGUGUUUUUCUCCUACCACCUCUCACUCAUUUUUCUCGUCUUUUCUCCCUCACAUCUCUCUUGCCUUUUCCUACCCUGACUUCCCUUUCCAUUUCUGUCUUUUGCUCGCUGUUUCCGUCCCCCAGUCUUACUGUUUCUCUAUCGUAUCCUCUACCCGUGAUUCUCGCCGAAUGCUAAUUAAAAAUAGCUUCAAACAAAGUAUAAUAAAGAAAUCGCUGUAUACUAGGCGUGAUAUCUAUUGUAUAGUAAAGAGAGAGAGAGAGAGUAAAAGAGUGUCGUGUGUGUUUGUGUGUGCGCGUGCGUGCGUGUGUAUAAUAAUGUGAUAUAUAUGUGUAUAUAAUGAGUGUGUGAACAGUAUGUGCUCUCUGUUGUUUUUGUUUAGCUUCAACUCAGACCCGAUCCAGUAAAGCUUUUAUGAUCAAAAACAUUUCUGCUAUUGACAAUCAGACCUAGUGUGUAACUAUAUUAACUGUUGUGGCCUUCCAUUUUAAUUCGGUAGAACGUAAUUUCAACGAGAUCUGGCUGCCAUUUUUAGCAGGUUAAACGACCGCAUAGAGACACCCUCGAUGAUCCGCAUGUAUGUAUGUACGUUGUGUGUGCUUUAUGUGCCUGUGCGCGCGCAUAAUGGUAUGACUAAAUUAUCAUAGCCGUGUCUGCAUGUGUGUGCGUGUUCUGUGAUCUGUUUGUAGGCGGUGGUGUCUAGUGGUAACAGUUUGUAUGAGAUGCUGAAGCAGAACAAAUUCUGUGGUACAGAAUAAAUGUUUUUGUCGUUGCAUACAAAUGGAGAGCGAGCGAGACAGAUGGAUAUAUAGAUGGACAUACCGCUUGGUGGAUAGGUAGGAUCUUUUGUGACAUAUUUUUGGAAUAUUGUGCACUCACACAUACAUAUGCUAAUAUUGUUGUUCACAACUAACGUAUAACAUUUAAUAUAUAUUCACACACACAUUUCCUCAUCUAAAAAUGUUUAUAUAAAAAAGUGACUUGUACACAAAUAUAUCACAUACUAUGUCGUACAUCAUAGUAUCAAAUAGCUGUAUGUAUGUGUGUGUGUGUGAGAGAGAGAGAGAGAGAGAGAGCUAUUUAAUGCACUCUAUAUAUGAUGAAAAAAUAUUAUUUAUCUUUCAUCUUUUAGGAUGCGAUGAAAUAAAGUGCCCGUUAAGUACGGUCGUUGUAAUCGACUUUCACUUAUCUCCUCUCCUUAAAAUUGUUGACCUUGUGCCAAAAUUAUAAAGAAUUAUCAUUGUUGUGUUUAUAGUAGAAAGGAUUAAAUUGUUAUUUUAGCUGUUUCAUAGAAUUUAACCUAAUUACAUUCAGCGUUGUGAAUUUCGAAGUUUUCAUCAACGUUAUAAACCUAUUCGGAUAAACACACACGAGCCUUCCACAGUGGUAUAUCUAUGUGGUAUUCGAACUGCUAGAAAAAACAACUCGGUCAUCGUCAAAUCAUACGCACACACUGACGUACUAGCGCCUUAAAAACAACAGCAACAGACUCAUUGGAUAAUGUGUUACGGUAUAUAGUGUAUUAAAAGAAAAUAGGUGUAAGAAUUGUCACGACUACUGGAAGACAGCCUUGGAAGGCUUCUCUGUGCACUGCUGGUCUUCUUAAUCCAGAGUUGACUCGUGGUUAAAAAACAACAGUGCACGCAUAGACAAAUUUAGUGAAACGUUUGACACUAGCUAUGUUUAUCCGUUCCAACACAUACGCGCACAUGCCUGCGCGCACGCACACACACAUACCUGUCUGCUUAUUGCAUCUAUCUGCCUAUAUAUCUGUCUGUCUGUCUGUCUAUCUAUCUAUCUAUCUAUCUAUCUAUCUGCCUGCUGUCUAUCUAUCUACCUGCCUGUCUAUCUAUUUGUCUGUUGAUUGGAAAGAAUUGUCUGUCUAUCUAUCCGUCUGUCUGUCCGUCAGUCCUUGUCUGCCUGAAUCUCAGUCUGAUUGUCUUUCUGUCUGCUACCUGUCUAUCUGACUUGUCUGUCUGUCUAUCUAUCUAUCUAUCUAUCUAUCUAUCUACCUACCUACCUACACACAUAUAUACAUACAUACUAACUGCAAUAGGCCUCAUUAGGAAAAUACUUGUCAAGGAUAUAGGACACCUGCAUCUAAAGACUCCGUCUUCGGCAACUUGACGUCACUAACAAGACACUGAGACGUAUUAGAAAUAGCAGCUAAAUCAUUCUUUUCUUGAAAGGAAGGAAACAUUGGAUAAUGUUAUUCUAACCAAAACAGAAAAUAUAGUCAAUGCUGCAACAUCCCUUGGUGAUCGGUGUAGUCGACCAUAGUUGACCAGAUUAAAUAAUUUUUUUUCUUUUAAAUCUUUGACUUGUUUCAGUCAUUGGAUUGCGGUCAUGCUGGGGCACCGCCUUGAAAGGUUUAGUCGAGAAAAUCGACUACAGUACUUGGUAACUCCGGUACUUUAUCGGUUCUUUUGCCGAACCGCUAGCUACAGGGAUAUAAACAAACGAACAGCUGCUGUCAAGCGGUGGUGGGAGUCAAACACAGACACGCAUGCACACAUAUAUACACACACAUACAUGCAUGCAUACAUACAUAUUCUCUCGCCCGGCACCGAGAUGAGAGAUGUGUGAAAAAUCCUAAAUGUUAAAUUUUAUUUUUUAUUCACCUGAAGAAAACGAUUUUUGUACACGAUGUAAUUGAUUUGUUCAUCAAUGAAAACACGUCUGUAAUAGCUGUAGUGAAACCGUAGCCAAUCUGAAACUAUCUAUCUGAAAGAAACCCAUCGUAUAUAUGUCCCCCAUCACUGCUUGACAACCGGUAUUAGUGUGUGUCUCCGUAACCUAGCAAUUCGGCAAAAGAAACUGAUUGAAUAAGUACCAGGCUUUAAAGAAAAAAAAGGUACUGGAGUCGAUUCGUUCGACUGAACUCCUUCAAGUCGGUGCCCCAGCAUGACCGCAGUCUAAUGACAUACACACACACAUAUAUAUAUAUAUAUGACGGGCUUCCUUCAGUCUUUGUUUACCAAAUUCACUCACGGCUUUGGUCGGCCUGGGACUAUAACAGAUGACACUUGCCCAAAUUGCCGCACUGUGGUACUGAAUCCAAGACAACAUAGUUGGGAAGCAAACUUCAAACUCCACACAGAUUCUUUCUCUGAUUUUUUUUUUUCUUCUUCCCCGCAAUGUUGGAUGUAAUGGAGCAUAUUGUACUUAUUAAUCGACACCGAAGAGCGAAAAAUGGCGAAGCGAAACACCUGCACAAUUAGAACUCGUAGUUGCAAGCUACAUUAAAUUUAAGUAGCAGCUAAAUCUUCGCCAAUCUGUCGUGUUUUCUUGAAGAAUGGACCCAUUGGACAAUGUGGUAUUAUAUAAAGGUCUAUUUAAUGAGGGAGAGUAGGUAGAGCUGAGACUGAACAAUGUCUCAGGUAUUUACAUUUCACUGACCCGUAUAUUGGUGGAACUAGGCUGCCUAACUGCUGGUCAAUCUGCAUUUGCUCCUAUGCAGACUUAAUGACAGACUAUAUACAAGGAGUAGUGGGCGUUGAGGUUUGUUGUCGAUUUUGAACCCUUCUUUCGCUUCUCGUUGAUAUUUAGCACUAGUUAACCUUCUAAGUAAAUAGAAAAAAGGCAUUCUAGCCUUGACCAUACCGACUUUUUUUUCUCCCUAAACGUUGUAAAUCUGACACUACUUUAUUCAAUGUGUAAUUAACACCCCCUCCCCUUUUCUAAAAUGUUUUGAAAAAGAAAAUACAGAUUAACGUGCGAUGUGGAUAGAGAUUUGGCCGCUAUUUUUAGUAGAUGGCAUGACCGCGUCAGAGUUCUCUUGGUUCGUCGCUUCAUUCAUUAAACGCGCUUUUGGUUUAAAGAAAUACGAACGUGGCGAGUUCUAAUUUCUUCGUUCUCUUGUAAAACAUCUCAAGGUGUCUUCUGCUAAAUAAAAGCUGCUACUGAACUCAAUAGUGCGUGCGCGUGUGUGAGAGAUGCUUUUCAUAAAUUUAUACUUCAGCUAUACAUGAAUAAUAUGCUUUCAUUUUCCGGCUCUUUACGUUCUGCGUUCAAAUUCCGUCGAAGUCGUCUUUGCCUUUUAUCCUUUCGGGGGUGGGUGGGGUAAAGAUAAAAUAUGUGCCAGUCGAACACUAGGGCUUCAGUACUGGAAUCCUGUAUUUAUUUAUUUAUUUAUUUAUUUUUAUAAAUGUAACUUGUAAGAAGAAUUCAAAGGUUUAUAUAACGCUAUUAUGCUUUAUUAUCGAAUCUGAAACAUCGCACUACAUUUCCCAUAUGAUUUCUGAUAGUAAGCUCCAGUUCAACUCUGAGCAUAUCUCUGGUCGAAAGUAUUCAACUUAGAAUCUUCACGUCAUUUUCUCUGGCAUUGUUUCUUGAACUCCAUUCUUCAACAUCCAUUCAACUUAUUAUUAUUUUUUAAUUUUGUGACUGUAGACGUCUAAUUUGAAGUUUUUACUAUUUGUCGGAGGUCAAGCGAAUCAGGCUUGAACUUCGCUAUUGUAGUGAACUUCUUUUUCUUUAUUAUUUACUAGCUGGCUCCGUGCCGUUAAAACUGAUGGCUAAUUGUAGUAUUUUAUAAAUAAAUAUGGAUAGUAAAUCAAAUUAAUACACUUGUCAGUGUUAUCUAGUGGUUGUCUUUUGAGAUGUGACAUCGAUCUUUGUUACUGAAAGAACGCCAGUUCAUACAUACUAACAUUCACAUACUUCCCUUGUACACGCACACACAUAUACUCACACAGAGUUAAAACGCUGUUUGAUUUUUCUUUUCAGCGUUGAAUGUUCACCAUCCCACUUCUAUUGCACACACACAUCUCCCUUUUACAUACACAUACAUAUAUACUCGCACAGACUUGGAACGCUGAUUUUUUUUUUCACCCUUCCUUCCUUUUUCCUCUCUUACUCCUUCCUUUCUCAUUCAUGUCAUCUCAUUCGAUCCUUCUCUUCGUUCUUACUUUUAUGGUAAAUAAUAAAUCAAUCCAUAUGUUGUGACGGAGAAAAAACACGAAUAUUAUUAUAGUAGAUUUAACAGUGGUUUGACUUCUCAAUUGAACGUUUGUUAUUACAUACUCUUCAUGCAGCAGCCCCCAGUUUAAACUCACUUAACAUUAAUAUAUAUAUAUAUUGUGUAUGUGUGUUGUACCAAAGUACAACAUAUGUAGACAAAAUUAAAAUUUCUAACCAGGCUGUUUGCUUUUGCUGUAGGAGCGCCCGCUAGCAUUGAAGAAGAUAAAGAAGGGACCUAAUCUCGUUUAUUAUCGUCAUCAUCAUCAUUGUGCCUGUAGUUGUGCUAAUAAUGCAAUUUAUUGAUCCACCUUUGCAGAUAUAUCUUCCUCUUUAGAUUAUUGCUAAAUGCCAACUUCAACUGCACCAUUCAUUUUCUUUUGUUCAAUUUGGACGAUGGUGGCAGAGGAAAGAAAAAGAAAAUAUAAUUCUGUAUUUUUUAAGGCUUUUAUUUUUAUUUCUCCUCUCUAACACACACACACACACACACACACGUAUGUAAUAUAUUUAUGUAUUUCUUAUUUAUUUAUUUGGGAAAGUCUCGCUAUUUAAAGUGGAAGAGACAUUCACCGAUGUUGUGCGUCGUUCUGAUGUUUGUUAUUCAUUGUUCUACAUUUUUAAAGUUUUUGUCUUAAUUUCAGUGCUGGAAUUUCUUAUCAGUAAACAGUUCAGAACCCGCUUGCACAGCACAUACACGCACACAGACAUGCUCUCCUGUAAUUUUGUCUGUCACUCUAAUGGUUUUCUUUUCCCUUCUUCUUUCCUGAUAAUGUUUUGACUAUUUAUUCACUACUUAUCCACUCAUUUGUAUAAUUUAAAUAAUUUCUCUGUUAGUUAUUGCUCCUUUUCUCAUAUAUAUGAAGUAAACAUCAGAGAUGCUUUGCCCCAAGCAGAACCUGCGUAAAUUACUUCAAGAUGUAAGAUUAUUUUUUAGUCUUGAUAGUAAACUAAAGCAGUUAUAUUGUUGGGAAUCCUUCAGCGAGUAUCUCAGAGUCACGAACGUUUCACCUGUAUGCUUCGCCUGUGUGGGCAACAAGGAUUGGAUUAACCUUCGCCUUAAGUUAUUAGGGCUCAUCUUCUGUAAGUAUCUCCAUACAAGAUUUCUUCCUUGUUUUGGAUUCCAAACCGAUAUUCUGCAAGAAAUAGCACACUACUCUUGCUGUGGAAUCAUGACAGCAUAUUUCAAAGGGAAUGAGGUUACAAGCCAUCCUUUAAUUGAGUUCUCUGAUAUAUUUAGUUUUCUUCGGUUGGUGAGAAAUGUCAAGUCAGGUCUCCUUGAAACUAACUUCAGAUAGUGUCUGAGAGCUUUGCUUGCCUUUUUCUUUUCUUUUUUUCGUACGCUUAUAUUCCGACUGGAUUGGUGAACUGAACCGUUGGUCAACGGUAACGUCUACAGUUCUAGGAGUAUAAACGCUAGAACAAUAUAAACAUUUUAUAAUCAACGAAGAAAACAAAAUAAGUACAGGCGAACUUAGCUCUAUUUUUUUUUUACAUCUUUCAACUAUAGAUCCGAAAAUGAGCCUAUUUAUAAAAUAUCACAGUAUAACCAGUGGAUUGGAAUCGGUGGAGCGACAGAGAAAACAGCUUGUGGUUGUUUUUGGUUCCGUCACUUUGUUUUGUUCAGAUUUCUCCCAAAUCAGUCUUGCCUUUAAAAUCUUUUGAGAUCGAUAAAACAAUCGUUAAAAUGAUUAUAUUUCUAUAUAAUCGACUAUACACUUGGAGAGUGUCCCAGCAAGGCUGUAGUCCAGUAAAAGAAUAAAAAAAAUUCUAUUAUAACAUUAAAAUUGCCAUAACAUAAAAUUUCUGGAUUCGUAUUUUUACUGAUUGAUUUGAUUUUUUUCUUAUAGUCUUUAUUGAUAGUUUAUUAUUAUGUCUUCGUGUGUUUCCUUUGAACAAGUCGCUUCAAGAUCUGUCUGUCUUAUUUAUCCACCCUCCCACCAAUCCGACCUACACGUGUGUAUUUUUUCUAUGGCCUCAGGUAACCCCGCCUCAUGUUGGCAUGAUCAACAAACAUUCCACUUGUGACCAUUCUUUAUUUUCUCUCACUCUUAAUAUAUUUAGAACUACAUUGUUCCUCUUUUUUUUUUGUGACAGUAGAUUGUGAUUUUGAAGGAAAUUUCGCUGCUAUUUCUCGCUGGCCGAGCUCUAUUUGUAUCAUAUAUUGUCUUCUUUUUCUCUUUGUUACCUUUCUGGUAAAAAAAUAGAAACAUAUUUCAUCUGCUUUUCCAGUGUCAGUGUAUUGUAUCUCCUGCCAAAAUCUGUAAGUCAUUGGUUUUCAACUUGCAAAUCGCCAGGGAUCUGCGGUGGACUAGUGAAACUUCACGAAAGUUGUGCCGGGAGAACGUGAGCUGUGUUCAAAAGAAACCUUAUAGUGUAAACCUACAACUAUUCACUUACAUAUAAAUUAUUCUGGUGUUUGUAUAUAUGUCAGUUGUGAGACAAAACUGGGAAAACCAUUUUGUUAAUAAACCUGGCUUAUAAAAAAAUGGACAGGCCUUUCAAAAACUUCGGUGUCCCCGAGGCCAUACACAACAAUACUUCUAUAAAUUUAUGGGCUUGUGCUCAUGCUAGAAACCAUCACCAUGAUAAUGAUAAUCGUCUGUUGUAAUAUCUGGAUUCCGACCGCACCCCAAAGCACAACACACACAAAUCACUCUUACUCCUUAACCAUAGUCCAUCUCGUCGGUAUUCAAAUUUCAUUUCGAAAGAUGGUGUCUGCGCAGAUUUCUUUUUCAUCACCACCCACCUGUCUUACCUGUAUAUCAGCAACAAAGAUUUCCAGUUACUCUGGCUCCAAAGUUUCCUUCCCAUGCACCUCUACCCAACACCGUCACAACGAUCUUCCUAAUUCAAAGAUAUAUAUCUUAAUUCAUCCAUCGCUGAAGUCAUCGUCCUUCUUCACACUAUCUCUCACAAUUAUACUUUGAUCCGAAUCUUUCAUGAUCUUCAAUUUUCUACAUUAAUUAGUUUCCUCUUCAACUCGCAUCCGACCGACAUGCACACACUCGUUCUCGUGGUUUGGAGAUUUCUUUCUCAUCUCCAAUCUAUCACCACCUCUGCAUCUAUCGAGUUGUUCCAUCACUACUUUAUCGCGACAACACCACCUGCAAGACUACCAUCCGAAUUGCGAAAAAUGAUUCCGUACAUUGCAUAUCCACACGUUUUGUCGCAACAUAGAUUGCAACGAAUCUUUUUGGUCCUUUGCCAAAAGGAUCUCUGCAAUUUGCGGAAUCUCCCUUUCGUUUACUGUUCAACCAUGAUGGUUGUGUAAGCAGUGUACCCAGAGAGAAUGCCUCCACAUUUGCUAUUUAAUUUGUUUCCAAUCCAUGCAACAUACACUUGGUAAAUCUCCUCCAAAUUCUCCUUCUUCCACUCUACUAGGUUUGCUAACAAGCACAUGUACAUACGCCAAGUGUGAAAGCAUCACUAGUUGUCACUUCCCAUUACUUUCAAACAACGCCAAACAAAGCUAGCCCUUAUCCAUACCUAACACUUCAGUGCCUCCCCCCUCUCUCUGGAUAUACCUUGAUCUUUGGGAGCAUGCUGCAGUGUGUCUUAUUUUUUAGAAGGACAACUCUUCCAACCCUUCCAACUACCACCGUAUUCCACCCUCUUCCAGUUUCUUAAAGGUAAUGGAGACAGCCAUUAACAACGAUCUUCUCUAUCACUUUGAAUCUUUCCUUGCUUCUUGACUACCAGUACAUCUUUAGUAAAGCCAGAGAUUUACCAGUGGGAUGUUGCUCUCAAUAAAUUUAGUGGUAACAGUUUUUCUCUCGAUAUCAGCAAAGCUUUAAGACUCUGUCUAGCAUGCAAAUCAUGUGUCAAAAACUGCUCUCCUAUGAGUUCCAUCCAUUUCUCAUCAGGUUGCACUAUGGCAGCGUGUGCUGAAGUAAUCCACACUCCAUCGACUCUUAUGUGCUCCAGGGUUUGCUUUUAUUCCCCAUACUAUCCUUCUUAUUUGCCGUCACCAUCAACUACGCCCACUCCUACGCAGAUGAAAUAACUUUUCAUGUCAUCUUCACUUCCCACACCCAAGCAUAAUUCACUUGCAGUCAACACGACUCACACCAAACCUGUACAAACUCAAUGAACAGAAAUCUCAAAAAAGUUAUCCAAUAGGGUCAUCACCUAAUAAUCACAAAGCUAGAUAUUUUAUUUUCUUGAGCCAUCAUAUAUACUUCAUUUCCGGCGCUGUUCUUACACAUACAGACAUCCCAUAGGGCAUCCAAAGAAAGGCCUAAUUCGCAUAAAAUCCCUCACCAACACACCCUAUCUUGAUAGACGUGUUUGUUUGCCUCUUCUCUCGUCCUCUACUCCUCGGAGCUGGCUGUUCUCAUCCCAUCCCCUCUCAAGUGCUCCUUUCUCACAUGUCUCUCCUCUUCCCAUUACUCCUCUCCGAACAUGCACUGACCACCUCGUCAGAUGUUUUCCAGAACGUCUGACAUCUGGAAUCCCCUUCCUGCACAUGUUUAUCUAGCCAGCUAUCGAACGGCCUAGGUUUUAUCCUGUUUUGGAGGGCCUGCGAAGGAGCAUAGUCCCUCCCACCGGCCUCAACCCAGUCCUUGUCGUCGUCGUCAUCAUUAUCAUCAAUAGCAGCAACAUUUCAUUAAAAAUAUUUAUUUUAUCAGCAAAACUACUUGUUGUUGUUGUGUGUGUGUUGUGGGGAGGGAGAAACCGCUUCGCUCUUUUAGGGGUGACUUGAAACACAUCAUCAAUUUCUGAAGUCAGUGGAGUGGUGGUGGUGAUUUUGAGGGAUAUUUAUGUGCUAUUCUACCAAAUUGAGCAACUACUUACAGGUUUCCUUUAGCUCGUAUAUGUAACUUAGUUUUUGUUUGUUUAGCCCCAGGUCAGCCCUUAUCAAGCAGUCAGACCUCUGGUCAAAAAGUUUUUCAGCUAUAUCCGUGCCCCUUUUUCCUCUUGAAUAUAGUGUAAACCUCUCUCAGACAAGCAUUAUCUAAUAUUUUCUUUGGUAACAGUGCAGCGUGUUCGAGAGAGAUAUGGCUGCUGUUUCUAGCAGAUGGAGCCACAAGUAAAUUUGUAUAUAUGUCUGUGUGUAUUCUGUUCAACUGAUUGUAAGUGUUCAUGUUUUCCGUUAUAUUUGUUAAAAAUCUUUCGCAUAUUGCAUAUUAUGUUGAUCUACUUCCUACUACUGCUGCUGUUGUUUGUUAAAGGUUGUAUUUAGCUUUUCUUGGCUUUAGUCGCCCUCACUUCAGGAACAAACUCCCGCCUCCCAAAUCUCUCUCUCGUAUAAUUCAUGCUUUAACGAAUCCAUAAUUUCUUUCAUCACUACAUACACAAUACUUUUUCCUUUCUCACCCUCCUUUCACACUUAUAACAGACUCUCACACUAAUUUCUUUCUUUCUCUCGAUCAUGCGAAUUAAAUCUCAUAUAUUUUCAAGCAUCUGUGUAUCCACGCCACACAUACACACACACACUAUCACAUAACACUCACUUUCUGAAAACACUAGUUCACAUAUACAUUCUUUUUCAUGUCCAUUUCCUUCACACGUAGACUCGUGCAUAAACAUCAGCUUUCUCUUUCUCACAUAUGCAUACACACAGACACACACACACCAGUUUCUCUUUCCUG
rnacentral:lncRNA from 1 species